AGAUCCUUGGCCAAACAACGCGGAUUGCAGUUCAUUUCAAAGUUUUGCUACUGUUCCUGAUUCAUUUCAUUGUGAUAAGAAAAGCUGCUUGGUUUUGGUAUCAGGAUGAUGCUGGCAUCAUAAAAUGAGUAUUUUUCUUCAGACUUCAGACUGCUGUGCUGGAAGCAAGAAUUUCAAGCAUUGGAUCUUAGCUUGCUGGGCUCCAUAGGGGUGGGAUCCACUGAGCUAGACCACUUGGCUCCCUGGCUUCAGCCCCCUUCCAGAUGUCCUUGGCGUGUACACCCUGUGGAAUCUGGUUCAUCUUCAAUCUGUCAGAAGGCAUCAGAGGUGGUUUUGACUCCUUAUGUCUUGGACCUGUGCACAAAAAGUGUAAAAUGGAUGGAACAUCAGACAGCUCAUUAUAGAGACAAGUAAGCUCCAGUUCCAAAGUUGGUUGACAGAACAAGUCAUGACCUUGUGUGGAGGAAAAUGAGAUCCCGAGUGAAGUCUACAAUGUCAUUGACUCUGAAGAAGGACUCAGAGACCCAUUGGUGUUUAAUGACCCUUACUGGCCUAUGCAAUGGAAACUGAUCUUGAGUGUGCCUUAAAAUUCCAUUUCAUGGAGAACUGUGCGUGGUUGAAUUUUGAUUGAUUACUCAAUUAACUGAUGUAUUGGUAGAGUGAUUAAGAAAGAAGACUUUGGGAUCAGACCAACCUGGUUUUGAAUUCAAGCUCAGCAACUUACUAGGUAAGGAGGAGAAAAGAAAGAAGGAAAAAUUGGAAAGAUAAAUGGGGUCUUUCCAGUGAAGCCUCCAGGCCUCCAGACUGGAACUUAUACCACUGAUUCUUCUGAAUCUUAGGCCUUUGGACUUGGACUGGAACUAAACCAUCAGCUCUUCUUGUUCUACCACUUGCAGACUGUAUGUCUUGGGACAUGUCAGCCUCUGUAAUCACGCUCAAUUUUCCUACAUAAUUAAGAGUUUGGAAUUCGGGCAAUAUCAAGAACCACAUCUGUCCUGAAAUCAAUUAUCUCUGUUUGAAACACAAGAAAUAAGAAGACCAUUUUGAGAAGAACAGAGAGUAGCCUUAAGAAAAUCCCUGUCGCAAGCACUCUGGGAUUUGGACUCAAAUGCUAAUUAUACAGAACCACUUGGGUGCCCAGCUGCUGUCCAUUCUCUACACUUAUCCCACCUGAUGGAAGGCUGUUAAGAAAAACAUCACUGCAAUGCCUAAUAAACAGACAUGGGUCCCAGACCCAAUAAGAGUGAAACCAUCCCCCUAUUUAAAUGAAAUUAUGGCUGAUGAGAAAGACAAAUUAAUUUCUCUGUCCCUAGUAUUACACAAAACUUUGGAUGCUGCCAUUGUUACAAUUUUAUUUUCCCCAGGAGCUCAGAGUCCCACCUUCAUUCUUUUUGUUUAAUGCUUAAGCUUGCCUGUCCACCUAUGGAAGACUAGAAUGAGCAAAGACCAUGUAUUCAAUGAUCUGUAAAUCUAACAGGAAACAAUAUAAUAAAUAUAUUGUGUUUGCUAACCAAA
rnacentral:lncRNA from 1 species